CGUUUCACUGCAGGAGAGCGAGUAGUACUUAUUACUUCUCCACCGAAGGCGCAAACUCCCAUAAACGCUCAGGUCGGCCGAACGGAUCCUUUGAA
rnacentral:ncRNA from 1 species